rnacentral:lncRNA from 1 species
UUUUUUUUUUUUGCUUUUUAGGGUCACACUCAUGGGAUAUGAUGGAAGUUCCCAAGCUAGGGGUCAAAUCCGAGCUACAGCUGCCAGUCUACACCACAGCCACGGUAACGCAGGAUCCGAGUUGUGGCUGGGAUCUACACCACAGCUCAUGGCAAUGCCGGAUCCUGGCCAGGGAUGGAACCCGCCUCCUCAUGGAUACUAGCCCAGUUCGUUUCUACUGCACCACAAUGGGAACUCCGGCACUUCUGGUUUCUGAUGGGAGAGAGAGCAGGGCCUGUCUCCGGGUGCUACCGACCACCCCCCCCUCCUCACCUUCCACCUGCAGCCCAGGGAUGCUGCUCAGAACCAAACCAACCUGCCCUCCCUCCCUGGGAGCCAGCAUCAGGGUGACAGCAAUGAGACAAGGCUGAAAUCUUCUGGCCAGGAAUCCUAACAUGGCGGUGGCUUGUGGGCCUCAGGGGGAUCAGGAGCCCUCCUCAAUUGAUCAAUACCCUGCAUUUGAGCCUUCGUCCCAAGAGAAGUUUCAGCAUUUGUGCCAGAUUCUCAAGGAGUCCGUGUGAAUUUGGGUGCAACAAGCACAACUGACCUCGUGAUGGCUUCAGGAUGAGGCAAGUGGAUUCUCUCACUAAAUGGCCAGUGGGAGGCAGAGCGGCCCUGGGGUCCAUCCAGUGACUCGACAGGGUAUUCAAGGACUCAAGCUCUCUCCACUUUCCCCUGCUGUCCACUGCAUGGUCACCUGUCCUUGCGCCAGGUCCUCUCUGGUCUCAAGAUGAUGGAGCGCAAAGCUUCAUCUCUCCCUGGACAUGCUUGGGGAACAGGGAAAGGAUGCAGUGGCCCUCCCAGACCUCUUUGGCACAUCCCAUGGGCCAGUGUGCAAGCCAGGGAAGCGUGGACUAAUCAGGUUUAGCCCUGGCCUGCUUGGGGCUGGGGCUGCUGCCCUGGGCGGUGAGAAAGAAGGUGGACCCCAGGCACAGUCAGGAUCUGUCUAGGGGAAGGAAGAGAAGAUGGGCUUUGUGUCAAGACCCCCCAGAGAUGAAAGCUGUUGACCAGAACCCUGAGCUGGAAGGAAGGUAGAAGCUAAAACAAGAAGAGGACCUAAACCCCACAGAGCACCUUCAGGAGGGUUGCAACAGAGAUGAUGCUCCAGAUCCUUCUGGGGUCCCAGGAGGUACCUGACCUGGAAGAGCAUGGCUCCCCCCAGGCAACAAACCCAGGCCACUGGCCCCAGGCGUUCUGCCCUCCUCACCUCUGGCUUCUUCUCAGGGCUCCUUCUCUCAGCUCAUCGGUGAAGUCCCUCAAGAUGUGAGCACGAGGAGUCCCUGUCAUGGCACAGCAGAAACAGAUCAGACUAGCUUCCAUGAGGAUGCAUGUUCAAUCCGUGGCCUCGCUCAGUGAGUUAAGGAUUCAGUGUUGCCAUGAGCUGUGGUGUAGGUCAUAGACGAAGCUCAGCUCCUGCAUUGCUGUGGCUGUGGUGUAGGCCGGCCGCUGUAGCUCCAAUUCUGUCUCUAGCCCAGGAACUUCCAUAUCCCAUGGGUGUAGACCUAAAAAGACAAAAAAAAAAAAAAAAAAAAAAAAAAAAAAGAUUUGAGGAUGAGGCUGGUCCCUGUCAACAGCACCUGGGGAUCGACCUGUGUUGCCCUCCCCCUGCAACCUACAGAUUUCUUUCCACAAAAAAGGAGUCUAUUGCAGUCACUGGAGGACCCUCUCUAGAGUCCUCCGGGUCUCUCAAUCCAUGUCAGGCUAGCCUGGAUCCUUGGGAGAAGAGACUUAAACACCAGGUCCUGCCUCUGUAUGACUUGGUGUGGCUACCCCUCUGGCUCCAGGUGACCACCAAAGUGGCCCUGGGAUCACAAGACCAGGGGCCCUGCAGAUGCAUCAGCAGGAGCCUGAGGGGGGGAAAAAUGAGUAGAGACAGGGAGGCAACCUUUGGUCAGUCGGAAACCUUGCCCAGGGCUCCUUCCUCCAGCCACCGCUCAGGACGCUGACCUCUUCCUUGUCACAGGCAGUUCAUUCUCCGUGGGCCUGUCCUGCGGGAAGAGUCUGCAUAGGGCAGGAACUUGAAGUCUGAGUACAGUGGGUGACCUUGGGCUUACGCUUGCAGAGUCACAGUGUCCUCCCGUGCAACGUGAGGACAGUAACAGCACAGAGCCCAUGGCCUUCCAGGGAGAAUUCUGUGUCAAGGGAGACGCAGAGAACUUGGCACAGCCCAGUUAAGUACCCUUGAAAGUGUGUUGGUUGCUUCCUCCUCCUACUGACCUUCCAAGAGCCUCUGGUGGGGUUGGAGUUACACACAUACACCCUGAACCCUGCUCCAUAUGCUGCUGGCCUAGCAGCCACCCAUAGGAGGCACACGGGAGCCAGGCAGGGUGAGCAAGGAGGCCCUUUGACUCCAAGAUGUGGGGGUUAAAACCUCGGGAUUGUGUAAUUCAGAUAAACAUGUCUGCAUUAAAGGGGAGAAUGUAAUAAAAGUUGCCUAACAUUGAAAGAUAAAACAAAACUGCAGAGAAAUUUGGUGCUUGCUUUGGGCCAUGCCCCCAAGCUGGGGCUAGGACGUGUCCUCAGGCUCCUCGGAGCUCAGGGUGCUUGGGGGCGGAUGGAAUCACAGGUUGGGACCCAGGAGGCAAAGAGGAGCCCUGGAGGGCAUCAAGGGUCUGCUGAUAAAUUCCUUUCAUUUUUUAAACUGUGAAACUCUUGACUAUGUUUUUAAAAGUAUGUUUAAAUUUUAGGAUAUGCGCUGCCAAAGCGAGCACAAGUAUUUUUAAAUUUUAAUAGAGAUUUAAUUUAAAAAAAUAAUUGUAGGAAGUUCCCAUUGCGGCUCAGCAGUAAUGAGCUCAACUAGUAUCCAUGAGGAUGCGGGUUUGAUCCCUGGCCUCACUCAGUGGAUUAAGGAUCCGGCAUUGCCAUGAGCUGUGGUGUGGGUUGCAGACGUGGCUCGGAUCCCGUGUUGCUGUGGCUGUGGUGCAGGCUGGCAGGUGCAGCUCUGAUUCAACCCCUAGCCUGGGAAUCUCCAUAUGCCUGGGUGCAGCGCUAAAAACAAAAAACAAACAAACAUAAAUCAUUGGAAAACACACACACACAUACACACACACAGUGAAAUGUACAAAGGGAAAUUGGUUUCUCCUUCCCAGAUGAGUCAGUGAUCUGGUAAGUUUAUCCAGCCAGACGUCUUCCUGUUCACGUACACACACACACACACACACACACACAGAGUUGCAUAGACUCACACAGAUAUGAGACACAAACACAAUCACAGAUGGACAGUUGCACAGACACAUCACAUAGAUAUGCAGAUGUCAUGCUCACAUGCAAAUGGCAGACACAAAGGGACAUGCAGCACUCACACUUGUGCACACACACUUAAUGUUGUAUAGACACAGACACACACACACUGAACCAAAGAUACAUGUGCACACAUGUCCAAGCAGAUACACAAGCUUGCACAUAUGCACAUGAUUUUUAAACUAUGGCAUCAAACUAUUCCUACUAAUCCACAGUCUGUCUGCCUUCAAAAUAUAGAAGAUCAUCUAACAGAUUUCUAGAUACCCACCACCCAGACAUAACAAAUAUUAAUAGCUGGAAUAUUUGCUUCAGAUCCCUUCUCAAAAAUCAAACGAAAUGGUACAGACCAGUUUAAACCCCCCCUCUACUCCCGCAUAAUUGCUAUCCAGAAGUUGCCACAACCCUGUGCAUAUUUUUAUACUUUUGCAACACAUGAAUGUAUUUAUAAACAAUGAUGACAUCUGUGUAUGUUUCAAACUUACAUAAAUGGUAUCCCAUGGGUGCCUCCUGGCAUUUCCUUUUGACCAUUUGCUCUUCUCACAUCCCUGGGCCUGGUAGGUACCCUCCCUUGUCACUCCUUUGAUCCAUGUGGUGGGGGGGGGGUGCCUCCUGCCCCAUCCCCUGCUCCCUCUGUCCCCUCAGCCAGCAUUUCUGUGCAUUUUAUGCCAAGAGCCCCCAAAGGCCUCUUCUGGUGGAACUGGGUCUUUGAUGCCUUUGCUAAAAACAGUAGUCUCUGGCCAUGGGGGUGUCAGAGGGAAGGACCAAACAGCUCCCUGCUCCCCCAACCCCCCCCCCCACAGUGCCAGCCAGCUGCUUAGGAAGAGGUAUUUGGGUGGGUGUGGUCCACUCCUCCUCUGCUCUGCUCCCUCCUCCUUCCUGCCCUCCCUCCUCCCCUCCUCCUUCCCUGCUCCCCCUCCCCCCUCCUCUCUCUCCUUCCUUCUCCCUCCACCUCGAGGCGAUGCAAGCCUCUGGCUGAAAAGCUGGAAGGUCACCCAAGGAAGCACAAGAAGAAAAGGCAUCUUGAUAUUUUUCAAAAUAUUAUCUCCCUACGAAUUUUUACAGUUCUGUUUUGCAUUUAGGUCCCUUAUUCUUUCAGAAUUAACUUUUGUUUGUCGUUUGAGGUCAGCGUCUAAAAAAAGAAUUUGUUCUUCAAAAUGGCUAGCCUGUCUUUCAGGUGCAUCAACUAGGAAAAGUGUUAGGUUAGGAUUUUGAUUGCGACUGGGGAGAAUCGAGGUCAUCUUAUUUUUGCUUUCUUACAGAGGAAUGUGGGAAUACAGGUAAAUGGUAAAAAAAUGAAAAUAUCUGUUAUUUUGGUAAUUUGAAUUAGCUAUAAAUAAGCCCUCCCCCCUUCCACUCUGGCCAGCUCCUAUUCCUCUUCCUAGGGAACCUCGGUUUGGUUGUGUGACAGGUUUAAUUAUUGAUACCAAUUCUUCCCUGCCCUUUGGUGGCUUUAGAUAUCUAUGCCCAUUUGCACAGCAUCAUGCUUGGCAGAAUAUACCCCUCAUGCACCAAUACUGGCCUUCACCAAGGCGAGGUUAGCAGAUGCAGCAGAGCAGAGGCUUGAAGUAUGAGCUGAGUUUGCCUCCAGAGCCUUUGCCAUUGCUGUAGGAAGAAAAUGCCCCAGGCGGCCGCUGACCCUCCAGGCAGAGCCUCAGAAUGAGACACGAGGGGUGGGGCUGCACCAGCAACCAUGGAUGCAAGAGAAAGAAAUGCUUACUGCUAUGCACCACUGAAAUUGCAUUUGUUACACAGCAAAAGCUGACUAAUACAAACUAUAUGCUUGUGUGUGUGUGUGUGUGUGUGU